rnacentral:misc_RNA from 1 species
CCGAGUGCGGGCCCUCUGGGUCCAACCUCCCACCCGUGUUUAUCGUACCUUGUUGCUUCGGUGGGCCCGCUGUUCCUAGCCGCCGGGGGGCUCCUGCCCCUGGGCCCGUGCCCGCCGAAGACACCAUUGAACGCUGUCUGAAGAUUGCAGUCUGAGCUUAUUAGCUAAAUCGGUUA